rnacentral:rRNA from 1 species
AUUGAACGCUGGCGGCAGGCUUAACACAUGCAAGUCGAGCGGAGAUGAGGUGCUUGCACCUUAUCUUAGCGGCGGACGGGUGAGUAAUGCUUAGGAAUCUGCCUAUUAGUGGGGGACAACAUUCCGAAAGGAAUGCUAAUACCGCAUACGCCCUACGGGGGAAAGCAGGGGAUCUUCGGACCUUGCGCUAAUAGAUGAGCCUAAGUCGGAUUAGCUAGUUGGUGGGGUAAAGGCCUACCAAGGCGACGGUCUGUAGCGGGUCUGAGAGGAUGAUCCGCCACACUGGGACUGGGACACGGCCCAGACUCCUACGGGAGGCAGCAGUGGGGAAUAUUGGACAAUGGGCGGAAGCCUGAUCCAGCCAUGCCGCGUGUGUGAAGAAGGCCUUUUGGUUGUAAAGCACUUUAAGCGAGGAGGAGGCUACCUGGAUUAAUACUCUAGGAUAGUGGACGUUACUCGCAGAAUAAGCACCGGCUAACUCCGUGCCAGCCGCCGCAGUAAGAC